ACAGAUGAUGGUAUUCAUUAAGGAUAUUAUUAGUAGAUGGGCUAGCUAGAUGGUUCAGUGGGUAAGGUCACUAGCUGCAAUUCUGACAACCUGAAUUUGAUGAUGGGAACAUGGACAUGCUCUAAAUAAAUAAUUGCAUAAGUUUCUUAAAGUGAAGGAUUAUUAGGAGAGAAGGUUAAUGUGGUCAAAAACAAUCGUCUUGUAAGCAAUUACUAGAGUAAGCAUAAGAUUUCAAAGUAUUUGGGAAAUUUAAAUUUUAGGUGGGGUGGGGCUGGAGAUAUGGCUCAGCAGUUAAAGAGUGUUUGCUGCAGUUUCCAGACAGAGGUCCUGAGUUCAAGUCCCAGCAACCACAUGGUCACUUACAACCAUCUGUAAUGGGAUCUGAUGCCCUCUUCUGGCACACAGGUAUACAUGCAAAUAUGAACACUUACACAUAAAAGAAAUAAAUCUUUCAAAAAAUUUAUUUUCAAAACAUAGUUAUUUUUAUGUCAGUGGCUAUAUAUGUUGUAAGCUGCCAUGUAGGAGCUAGGGUUUGAACCUGGAUCCUGGAAUAGUCAGUGCUCUUAACUGCUGAGCCAUUUCUCUAGCCCAAGAAACUUUCUUUAAAUAUCAGAUCUUGCAGUGUGGGGAGUGACAAAUUCCCUGAAAAAGGUAGGAGCAGACCCUCUGAAACUUCAUUUUAAAAAAUCAUUCAUUCUCGCCUGGCAUGGUGGCUCAUGCCUAUAAUUCCAGCACUCGGAAGGCAGAGGCAGGCGGAUUUCUGAGUUCGAGGCCAGCCUGGUCUACAGAGUGAGUUCCAGGACAGCCAGGACUAUACAGAGAAACCCUGUCUUGAAAAACCAAAAACAAACAAACAAAAAAGUCAUUCAUUCAUGGGACAGCAAGCCUUUCUACGGGUCUGCAUGUGGAGCUUCUGUCCUGGGGCAUAUGUGGAGAACAGCUGCUUUCUUUCCACUAUGUUGGUCUCUGAGAUGGGAGACCUGUAGAUUUGAUAGCACAUUACCUUCACAUUUCAGCCUUUCAGGUGCCCUACUCUUUUUUUUUUUUUUAAAUUAAAGAUUUAUUUAUUGUUAUAUGUAACACACUGUAGCUGUCUUCAGACACACCAGAAGAGGGCAUCAGAUCUCAUUAUGGAUGGUUAUGAGCCACCAUGUGGUUGCUGGGAUUUGAAUUCAGGACCUUAGGAAGAGCAGUCAGUGCUCUUAACCGCUGAGCCAUCUCUCCAGCCCCCAAGGUGCCCUACUCUUAAACUUCUGAGUUUAUGAUGUUUCCUGGGCUUAUAAAUCCUCUCUUUUAAUUUCACCCAUUUAUGCUCCUUAGCAAUUUGAAAAAUGCUUAGUGUCUGUCCUGUUCAGAGCUUUUCUCUUAAGCUGUUCACAUGUGUAUGAGCUCAGUUGAUCAUCAAAAUUACCUGUAAAUUCCAGGUAAUAGUUGUAUCUAAUGUUUGUUUACUAAUGACUUUAAGGAAAUCAGAUGUUGUGAUGCAUGCCUUUAAAUCCUAGCACUGGGAAGCAGAGGCAGGCUGAUCUCUGAGUUUGAGGCCAGCCUGAUCUACAGAGCAAAUUACAGGAUAGCCAUGGCUACACAGGGAAACCAUCUCAAAAAAACAAACCAAGCAAACAAAACCUUCACC
rnacentral:lncRNA from 1 species